GUUCAUUUAUGUGAGUUCCAGUGUGCUAUGAUGUAUAUUUCUAAAAAUUUCUAUAUAUCACAGCCCCGCUUGGAACGCUAAUUAAUGAAU
rnacentral:pre_miRNA from 1 species